rnacentral:rRNA from 1 species
ACUCCUGCGGGAGGCAGCAGUGGGGAAUAUUGGACACUGGGCGCAAGCCUGAUCCAGCCAUGCCGCGUGAGUGAUGAAGGCCCUAGGGUUGUAAAGCUCUUUCACCGGUGAAGAUAAUGACGGUAACCGGAGAAGAAGCCCCGGCUAACUUCGUGCCAGCAGCCGCGGUAAUACGAAGGGGGCUAGCGUUGUUCGGAUUUACUGGGCGUAAAGCGCACGUAGGCGGACUAUUAAGUCAGGGGUGAAAUCCCGGGGCUCAACCCCGGAACUGCCUUUGAUACUGGUAGUCUUGAGUUCGAGAGAGGUGAGUGGAAUUCCGAGUGUAGAGGUGAAAUUCGUAGAUAUUCGGAGGAACACCAGUGGCGAAGGCGGCUCACUGGCUCGAUACUGACGCUGAGGUGCGAAAGCGUGGGGAGCAAACAGGAUUAGAAACCCCAGUAGUCCCAUGA